GCGGCGCACGGGUGAGUAACACGUAGGUAACCUACCCCCAAGCCUGGGAUAACCCGCCGAAAGGUGGGCUAAUACCGGAUAUGACCACGGGAGUCUCGGCUCCUGCGGUGAAAGGUGGCCUCUGCUUGCAAGCUACCACUCGGGGAUGGGCCUGCGCGCCAUUAGCUAGUUGGCGGGGUAAUGGCCCACCAAGGCUCUGAUGGCUAGCUGGUCUAAGAGGAUGGCCAGCCACACUGGGACUGACACGCGGCCCAGACUCCUACGGGAGGCAGCAGUGGGGGAUAUUGCGCAAUGGGCGAAAGCCUGACGCAGCGACGCCGCGUGGGUGAUGAAGGCCUUCGGGUCGUAAAGCCCUGUCGAGGGGGAAGAAACGGUUUCGACCUAACACGUCGGAGCCCUGACGGUACCACUAAAGGAAGCACCGGCUAACUCCGUGCCAGCAGCCGCGGUAAUACGGAGGGUGCAAGCGUUGUUCGGAAUCACUGGGCGUAAAGCGCGUGUAGGCGGUCCGCUAAGACUGAUGUGAAAGCCCGGGGCUCACCCCCGGAAGGGCAUUGGAAACUGGCGAACUCGAGUCCCGGAGAGGAGGGUGGAAUUCCUGGUGUAGCGGUGAAAUGCGUAGAUAUCAGGAGGAACACCGGUGGCGAAGGCGGCCCUCUGGACGGUGACAGACGCUGAGACGCGAAAGCGUGGGGAGCAAACAGGAUUAGAUACCCUGGUAGUCCACGCUGUAAACGAUGAGCACUAGGUGUCGCGGGUAUUGACCCCUGCGGUGCCGCAGCUAACGCAUUAAGUGCUCCGCCUGGGGACUAC
rnacentral:rRNA from 1 species